rnacentral:tRNA from 1 species
GCGGUCGUCGUCCAGUCUGGUCUAGGACAUAAGCCCUCCAAGCUUGUAACCAGGGUUCAAAUCCCUGCGACCGCA